rnacentral:rRNA from 1 species
AUUGAACGCUGGCGGCAGGCCUAACACAUGCAAGUCGAGCGGGGUUUUCGGACCUAGCGGCGGACGGGUGAGUAAUGCGUAGGAAGCUACCCGAUAGAGGGGGAUACCAGUUGGAAACGACUGUUAAUACCGCAUAAUGUCUACGGACCAAAGUGUGGGACCUUCGGGCCACAUGCUAUCGGAUGCGCCUACGUGGGAUUAGCUAGUUGGUGAGGUAAUGGCUCACCAAGGCGACGAUCCCUAGCUGGUUUGAGAGGAUGAUCAGCCACACUGGAACUGAGACACGGUCCAGACUCCUACGGGAGGCAGCAGUGGGGAAUAUUGGACAAUGGGCGCAAGCCUGAUCCAGCCAUGCCGCGUGUGUGAAGAAGGCCUUCGGGUUGUAAAGCACUUUCAGUAGAGAGGAAGGGUUAAGUGUUAAUAGUACUUAACUUUGAUGUUACCUACAGAAGAAGCUCCGGCUAACUCUGUGCCAGCCGCCGCCGUAACAC